rnacentral:rRNA from 1 species
UGCGCAGGUGGGGAUGUAAGUCAGUGGUGAAAUACUGCCGCUCAACGGUAGAACUGCCAUUGAUACUGCAUCUCUUGAGUAUGGUUGAGGUAGGCGGAAUGUGUUGUGUAGCGGUGAAAUGCAUAGAUAUGACACAGAACGCCAAUUGCGAAGGCAGCUUACUAAGCCAUUACUGACGCUGAGGCACGAAAGCGUGGGGAGCGAACAGGAUUAGAUACCCUGGUAGUC